AUAAAAAUCCGGCAAUCAGGUGCCAGAAAUGAUCUUCUAUCGUCCUGGAUAAACGGGAAUCAGGUGCGUGGCGCAAUGCCACCAUGCCUGGGCUGCCCCCGCAACGGUAAGCGUUAAACGAUGCAUCACACACGCCACUGGAUUCGUCCGGGAAGGCGAUGCAUGCGGCGCGAGCCCGGAUACCGGCCUGAACCCCGCGUGACCU
rnacentral:ncRNA from 2 species